CAAAUAAUCUUUUUGCUUAUAUCAGGUGUACUUACACAAUUAAGCUCUCAAAUCAUAAAGCUUAGUACAUACUUGUAGCUUCAUCAAAAUACAUUUUGGUUCUUACACGUGGUGCACACAACACAGCACUCCAGAUACCUAUUAAAAAUGGAAGUUAAAGAAGGAAAGCUAUCCAGUAUACAGGUCCACUUCAAUUCAAGUUACAGUCACACUUUUACAGAUUAAAAUAAUAAUGUCAUAACUACACAGUAUAGGGAGAUAAAGGUAUAAAAUUGUUAUUAAUUGAUUAAAAAUGUAAUAAAAUAAAAUUAUAAUGUCAGAUGAUAAGGUCAAGUUUUCA